rnacentral:rRNA from 1 species
AGAGUUUGAUCCUGGCUCAGGAUGAACGCUAGCUACAGGCUUAACACAUGCAAGUCGAGGGGCAUCAGGAAGAAAGCUUGCUUUCUUUGCUGGCGACCGGCGCACGGGUGAGUAACACGUAUCCAACCUGCCCUUUACUCGGGGAUAGCCUUUCGAAAGAAAGAUUAAUACCCGAUAGUAUAAUGAUUCCGCAUGGUUUCCUUAUUAAAGGAUUCCGGUAAAGGAUGGGGAUGCGUUCCAUUAGGUUGUUGGUGAGGUAACGGCUCACCAAGCCUUCGAUGGAUAGGGGUUCUGAGAGGAAGGUCCCCCACAUUGGAACUGAGACACGGUCCAAACUCCUACGGGAGGCAGCAGUGAGGAAUAUUGGUCAAUGGGCGAGAGCCUGAACCAGCCAAGUAGCGUGAAGGAUGACUGCCCUAUGGGUUGUAAACUUCUUUUAUAAAGGAAUAAAGUCGGGUAUGUAUACCCGUUUGCAUGUACUUUAUGAAUAAGGAUCGGCUAACUCCGUGCCAGCAGCCGCGGUAAUACGGAGGAUCCGAGCGUUAUCCGGAUUUAUUGGGUUUAAAGGGAGCGUAGGUGGACUGGUAAGUCAGUUGUGAAAGUUUGCGGCUCAACCGUAAAAUUGCAGUUGAUACUGUCAGUCUUGAGUACAGUAGAGGUGGGCGGAAUUCGUGGUGUAGCGGUGAAAUGCUUAGAUAUCACGAAGAACUCCGAUUGCGAAGGCAGCUCACUGGACUGCAACUGACACUGAUGCUCGAAAGUGUGGGUAUCAAACAGGAUUAGAUACCCUGGUAGUCCACACAGUAAACGAUGAAUACUCGCUGUUUGCGAUAUACAGUAAGCGGCCAAGCGAAAGCAUUAAGUAUUCCACCUGGGGAGUACGCCGGCAACGGUGAAACUCAAAGGAAUUGACGGGGGCCCG